GUGAAAUUGUUGAAAGGGAAGCGCUUGCAACCAGACCUGCCUGUAGUUGCUCAUCCGGGCUUUUGCCCGGUGCACUCUUCUGCUGUCAGGCCAGCAUCGGUUCGGGCGGUCGGAUAAAGGCUUCGGGAAUGUAGCUCCUCUCGAGGAGUGUUAUAGCCCGUUGCGAAAUGCGGCCAGCCUGAACUGAGGUCCGCGCUUCGGCUAGGAUGCUGGCGUAAUGGUUGUAAGCGGCCCGUCUUGAAACACGGACCAAGGAGUCUAACAUCUGUGCGAGUGUUUGGGUGUCAAACCCGUACGCGUAAUGAAAGUGAACGGAGGCGGGAACCCCUCGGGGUGCACCGUCGACCGAUCCUGAUGUCUUCGGAUGGAUUUGAGUAAGAGCAUAGCUGUUGGGACCCGAAAGAUGGUGAACUAUGCCUGAAUAGGGUGAAGCCAGAGGAAACUCUGGUGGAGGCUCGCAGCGGUUCCGACGUGCAAAUCGAUCGUCAAAUUUGGGCAUAGGGGCGAAAGACUAAUCGAACUAUCUAGUAGCUGGUUCCUGCCGAAGUUUCCCUCAGGAUAGCAGUAACGUUUUCAGUUUUAUGAGGUAAAGCGAAUGAUUAGAGGCCUGGGGGUUGAAACAACCUUCACCUAUUCUCAAACUUUAAAUAUGUAAGAAGUCCUUGUUACUUAGUUGAACGUGGACAUUUGAAUGUAUCGUUACUAGUGGGCCAUUUUUGGUAAGCAGAACUGGCGAUGCGGGAUGAACCGAACGCGGAGU
rnacentral:rRNA from 1 species